rnacentral:rRNA from 1 species
AACGAACGCGGGCGGCAGGCCUAACACAUGCAAGUCGAGCGAGGACUUCGGUCAUAGCGGCUGACGGGUGAGUAACGCGUGGGAACGUGCCCUUUGCUUCGGAAUAGCCCUGGGAAACUGGGAGUAAUACCGGAUUAGCCCCGCGUGGGAAAGGUGGAUCGGCGAAGGAUCUGCCAAGGUUUGGUGAGCUAGUUGUGGGGGUAGUGGGCUACCAAGGCUGGUGGCGUUAGCGGGUCCGAGGGGAUGAUCAUCUACACGGUGAGUGAGGCACGUCACACACACCGGCGCUGAGACACGGCCCAGACUCCUACGGGAGGCAGCAGUGGGGGAUCUUAGAAAAUGGGGGAAGUCCUGAUCUAGCCAUGGCGCGUGAGCGAUGAAGGCAUUAGGGUUGUAAAGCUCUUUCAGCUGGGAAGAUAAUGACGGUACCAGCAGAAGAAGCCCCGGCUAACUACGUG